rnacentral:rRNA from 1 species
GAUGAACGCUGGCGGCGUGCCUAAUACAUGCAAGUCGAGCGAACAGACGAGGAGCUUGCUCCUUUGACGUUAGCGGCGGACGGGUGAGUAACACGUAGGUAACCUACCUAUAAGACUGGGAUAACUUCGGGAAACCGGAGCUAAUACCGGAUAAUAUUUCGAACCGCAUGGUUCGAUAGUGAAAGAUGGCUUUGCUAUCACUUAUAGAUGGACCUGCGCCGUAUUAGCUAGUUGGUAAGGUAACGGCUUACCAAGGCAACGAUACGUAGCCGACCUGAGAGGGUGAUCGGCCACACUGGAACUGAGACACGGUCCAGACUCCUACGGGAGGCAGCAGUAGGGAAUCUUGCGCAAUGGGCGAAAGCCUGACGGAGCAACGCCGCGUGAGUGAUGAAGGUCUUCGGGUCGUAAAACUCUGUUAUUAGGGAAGAACAGACGUGUAAGUAACUGUGGACGUCUUGACGGUACCUAAUGAGAAAGCCACGGCUAACUACGUG